rnacentral:tRNA from 1 species
GAGGAUAUAGCUCAAGCAGUAGAGCAUGUGCUUAGCAAGCACAACAUCUUGGGUUCAAUUCCCAGUAUUUCCU